rnacentral:rRNA from 1 species
CGAACGGGUGAGUAAUGCGUGACCAACCUGCCCCGUGCUCCAGAAUAGCUCUUGGAAACGGGUGGUAAUGCUGGAUGCUCCAACUUGACGCAUGUCUUGUUGGGAAAGUGUUUAGUGGCAUGGGAUGGGGUCGCGUCCUAUCAGCUUGUAGGCGGGGUAAUGGCCCACCUAGGCUUCGACGGGUAGCCGGCCUGAGAGGGCGGACGGCCACAUUGGGACUGAGAUACGGCCCAGACUCCUACGGGAGGCAGCAGAA